UUAACAGGAUUAGAUACCCUGGUAGUCCACGCCCUAAACGAUGCACACUAGUUGUUGUGAGGCUAGACCUUGCAGUAAUGCAGUUAACACAUUAAGUGUGCCGCCUGGGGAGUACGGUCGCAAGAUUAAAACUCAAAGGAAUAGACGGGGACCCGCACAAGCGGUGGAGCAUGUGGUUUAAUUCGACGAUACACGAAGAACCUUACCUGGACUUGACAUAGUAAGAACUAUCUAGAGAUAGAUGGGUGUCUGCUUGCAGAAACUUAUAUACAGGUGCUGCACGGCUGUCGUCAGCUCGUGUCGUGAGAUGUUGGGUUAAGUCCCGCAACGAGCGCAACCCUCGUCAUUAGUUGCUAACAGUUCGGCUGAGAACUCUAAUGAGACUGCCUACGCAAGUAGGAGGAAGGUGAGGACGACGUCAAGUCAUCAUGGCCCUUACGUCCAGGGCUACACACGUGCUACAAUGGGGUAUACAAAGAGCAGCAAUACGGUGACGUGGAGCAAAUCUCAAAAAUAUCUCCCAGUUCGGAUUGUAGUCUGCAACUCGACUACAUGAAGUUGGAAUCGCUAGUAAUCGUAGAUCAGCUAUGCUACGGUGAAUACGUUCCCGGGUCUUGUACUCACCGCCCGUCACACCAUGGGAGUUGAACUCAUUCGAAGCGGGGAUGCUAAAAUAGCUACCUUCCACAGUGGAUUCAGCGACUGGGGUGAAAGUCGUAACAAGGUAACC
rnacentral:rRNA from 1 species